rnacentral:lncRNA from 1 species
CUUUGUGUCAGUCCCAGCGAGGAUGCUGCCCUUCCCUCGCCCAGGCGAGGCUGGAUGCCCCCGAGCUGGCUCUGCUGCUGCAGCUCUGUGCUCCUUACCGAGCUCCUCGUUACUCCCGUAUCGAUGUCACUUGAAGAUCUGAUUGCCAACAUCAUAAAAACAGUGCUAGGAAAAACCACAAAAUAUUGCACAAGACCCAGGAGGACUGAAAGUUGAAGGAUUUCUUUCAGAGGAUAUAUUGUUUUCACUGGUGAGUAGGUGGAGCCAUUCCAUUUUUCCUGAUUACAGUCUAGAACAGCUCAAGUUGCUGUGACUGGAAUUCUGUUUCUAUGGAUCAUCUUGCUGAAAGAAUUUGACAGCAGCAGAGUUUUUCCCCAGUGCCCUUGUUGUAAAUUGUAUGUGUUUCA